CACACACACACACACAAACUGAUAGACAUAUAAGAAUAAAGAAAUUAGAAUGUUGUUCAUUUUCUCUCUGUUUUUGAUAAUACACAGUUUUGCCUUUCUGUUUUUAUUUUCUUUUUUUUAUGUAAUGAUCAAUGAAAUAUAUAUAAA
rnacentral:ribozyme from 16 species